UACGUAGGGUGCGAGCGUUUGUCCGGAAUUAUUGGGCGUAAAGAGCUUGUAGGCGGUUUGUCGCGUCUGCUGUGAAAAUCCGGGGCUCAACCCCGGACUUGCAGUGGGUACGGGCAGACUAGAGUGUGGUAGGGGGAGACUGGAAUUCCUGGUGUAGCGGUGGAAUGCGCAGAUAUCAGGAGGAACACCGAUGGCGAAGGCAGGUCUCUGGGCCACUACUGACGCUGAGAAGCGAAAGCAUGGGGAGCGAACAGG
rnacentral:rRNA from 1 species